CACGUAGGCACCAAGCGUUGUCCGGAUUUAUUGGGCGUAAAGAGCUCGUAGGCGGUCUGUCGCGUCGAUCGUGAAAACUUGGGGCUUAACCCUGAGCUUGCGGUCGAUACGGGCAUGACUGGAGUUCGGCAGGGGAGACUGGAAUUCCUGGUGUAGCGGUGAAAUGCGCAGAUAUCAGGAGGAACACCGGUGGCGAAGGCGGGUCUCUGGGCCGAUACUGACGCUGAGGAGCGAAAGCGUGGGGAGCGAACAGG
rnacentral:rRNA from 1 species